rnacentral:tRNA from 3 species
GGCGGCGUAGCUCAGCGGUUAGAGCGGCGGACUCAUAACCCGCAGGUCGGUGGUUCGAAUCCACCCGCCGCUA